rnacentral:rRNA from 1 species
CUGCGAAUGGCUCAUUAUAUAAGUUAUCGUUUAUUUGAUAGCGCCCUACUACUUGGAUAACCGUGGUAAUUCUAGAGCUAAUACAUGCUAAAAAUCCCGACUCCGGAAGGGAUGUAUUUAUUAGAUUAAAAGCCAACGCCCCCUCACGGGGGCUCAGUGGUGAUUCAUGAUAACUGAUCGAAUCGCACGGCCCUGCGCCGGCGAUGGUUCAUUCAAAUAUCUUCCCUAUCAACUUUCGAUGUUUGGAUAGGGGCCAAACAUGGUGGCAACGGGUAACGGAGGGUUAGGGCUCGACCCCGGAGAAGGAGCCUGAGAGACGGCUACUACAUCCAAGGAAGGCAGCAGGCGCGCAAAUUACCCAAUCCCGACACGGGGAGGUAGUGACAAUAAAUACCGAUACAGGGCUCUUUUGGGUCUUGUAAUUGGAAUGAGUACAACUUAAAUCCCUUAACGAGGAACAAUUGGAGGGCAAGUCUGGUGCCAGCAGCCGCGGUAAUUCCAGCUCCAAUAGCGUAUAUUAAAGUUGUUGUGGUUAAAAAGCUCGUAGUUGAACCUUGGGCCUGGCUGGCCGGUCCGCCUCACCGCGUGUCACUGGUCCGGCCGGGCCUUUCCCUCUGUGGAACCCCAUGCACUUCACUGGGCGUGGCGGGGAAACAGGACGUUUACUUUGAAAAAAUUAGAGUGCUCCAGGCAGGCCUAUGCUCGUAUACAUUAGCAUGGAAUAAUGAAAUAGGACGUGUGGUUCUAUUUUGUUGGUUUCUAGGACCGCCGUAAUGAUUAAUAGGGACAGUCGGGGGCAUCAGUAUUCAGUUGUCAGAGGUGAAAUUCUUGGAUCUACUGAAGACUAACUACUGCGAAAGCAUUUGCCAAGGAUGUUUUCAUUAAUCAGGAACGAAAGUUAGGGGAUCGAAGACGAUCAGAUACCGUCGUAGUCUUAACCAUAAACUAUGCCGACUAGGGAUCGGACGAUGUUAUUUAUUGACUCGUUCGGCACCUUACGAGAAAUCAAAGUGC